rnacentral:rRNA from 1 species
UAAAGCAAGAAAGGGCGUAUGGGGAAUGCCUAGGCACACUCCGGCGAAGAAGGACGCAGCAAACAGCGAAAUGCGACGGGAAGCGGUAAGCACGCAAAGAUCCGUCGAUAUCCGAAUGGGGGAACCCGCAUGGAGUCAAAUCCAUGGAUCACAUGUUGAAUACAUAGACAUGAUGAGGCGAGACGCAGGGAACUGAAACAUCUAAGUACCUGCAGGAAGAGAAAAUAAGAAUGAUUUUCUGAGUAGCGGCGAGCGAAAGGGAAAGAGCCCAAACCGAUCUGAGGAUCGGGGUAGUAGGAUCAUCAAGGAAUCUGACAGAGGAUCAUAGAGGAAUCACAUGGGAAGGUGAGCGAGAGAGGGUGAGAGCCCCGUACUCGAAAUGAGAGACUGGAGAGAGAUGACACCUGAGUAGGGCGGGACACGAGGAAUCCUGUCUGAAUCGGCCGGGACCAUCCGGCAAGGCUAAAUACGAGAGUAGUGACCGAUAGUGAACCAGUACCGUGAGGGAAAGGUGAAAAGAACCCCGGGAGGGGAGUGAAAGAGAACCUGAAACCAUAUGCCUACAAGAAGUCAGAGCCCGUUAAAGGGUGAUGGCGUGCCUUUUGUAGAAUGAACCGGCGAGUUACUGUAUGGAGCGAGGUUAAGCAGGAUAUGCGGAGCCGAAGCGAAAGCGAGUCUUAAGAGGGCGAAAGUUGCAUGCAGUAGACCCGAAACCGGGUGAUCUAGCCAUGACCAGGUUGAAGUUGGGGUAAAACCCGAUGGAGGACCGAACCGACCCCCGUUGAAACGUUGGCGGAUGAGUUGUGGCUAGGGGUGAAAUUCCAAUCGAACCCGGAGAUAGCUGGUUCUCCCCGAAAUAGCUUUAGGGCUAGCGUCGAGGUAGAGAGUUGCGUGAAGGUAGAGCACUGAAUAUGUGAUGGCCCCAUCUCGGGGUACUGAGCAUAAUCAAACUGCGAAUGUCACGGAAACAUACUCGGCAGUCAGACAGCGGGUGAUAAGGUCCGUUGUCAAGAGGGAAACAGCCCAGACCAUCAGCUAAGGUCCCAAAAUGUAUGCUAAGUGGAAAAGGAUGUGGAGAUGUACAGACAACUAGGAGGUUGGCUCAGAAGCAGCCAUCCUUUAAAGAGUGCGUAACAGCUCACUAGUCGAAUGACUCUGCGCCGAUAAUUUACCGGGGCUAAGCAUACUACCGAAGCUAUGGAUCCCAAGGGAUGGUAGGGGAGCGUUCCAUGAACGGAGAAGCGCGAUCGAGAGGACGCGUGGAGAUCAUGGAAGAGAGAAUGCCGGUGUGAGUAGCGGAACGUGGGUGAGAAUCCCACGCACCGAAAACCCAAGGUUUCCAGAGGAAGGUUCGUCCGCUCUGGGUAAGUCGGGACCUAAGGCGAGGCCGAGAGGCGUAGUCGAUGGACAACAGGUAGAGAUUCCUGUACUCAUAUAUAUGUGAAGGAAUGACGGAGAGAGGAAGCUGCAGCCAGCGGCUGGAAGAGCUGGUGCAAGCGAGAUAUCGGGAUGGCAGGCAAAUCCACCAUCCGAAACGAGAAGGCGUGAAGCGUACGGAAAGCUAAGGCGAGUACGGAAGGCAGUGGAGGAGCUUCCAAGAAAAGUUUCUAACGAAAGUAUAUGUGACCCGUACCGAAAAUGGACACACAUGGGUGAGGAGAGAAUCCUAAGGUGAGCGAGAGAACUAUAGCUAAGGAACUCUGCAAAAUGACUCCGUAACUUAGGGAGAAGGAGUGCUCAUAGAGAUAUGAGCCGCAGUGAAACGGCCCAAGCGACUGUUUACCAAAAACACAGCUCUCUGCUAAGCCGCAAGGCGAAGUAUAGGGGGUGACGCCUGCCCGGUGCUGGAAGGUUAAGGGGAGGGGUUAACGCAAGUGAAGCCCUGAACUGAAGCCCCAGUAAACGGCGGCCGUAACUAUAACGGUCCUAAGGUAGCGAAAUUCCUUGUCAGGUAAGUUCUGACCCGCA